GAAGGANUAAGAGCGCACAGUGGAGCUG
rnacentral:rRNA from 1 species